GUACUGCUGAGGAUUCCCAAAUUAGGACGAAACAGCUGUCCAGUAC
rnacentral:hammerhead_ribozyme from 1 species